AUGCCAUUCUGCAAUUACGAUAAAUUUGGAUACCUCAACACUUGGUGCAAGUCAAUCCAAUCUUCUGAUCAAAUUAUCACCAUAAUUGUUUUUUCCUUUUAUAAUAGUCAUUCGAUUUUAAGUGGUCAUGGUCAUCUGAGUGUGGCGAAGGGGAGCCUUGGCGCAGUGGUAAAGCUGCUGCCUUGUGACCAUGAGGUCAUGGGUUCAAGUCCUGGAAACAGCCUCUUACAGAAAUGUAGGGAAAGGCUGCGUACUAUAGACCCAAAGUGGUCGGACCCUUCCCUGGACCCUGCGCAAGCGGGAGCUACAUGCACCAGGUUGCCCUUUAUGGUCAUCUGA
rnacentral:rRNA from 1 species